rnacentral:ribozyme from 1 species
ACAAAAGACAAACCACAAAUAUGUGUUACAAAUACGAGUCUUUCUCUCUGUCAUCCACCCAGGUUAUUAUCUAAUCUCCAUGUAGUCUUGUUUGUUUAAUUUCUUCUUCUUUUUUUGUAAUCUAUCGAUCGUAAAAACACAAAAACAUGAA